AGAAUCAACGCUGGCGGCGUGCCUAACACAUGCAAGUCGAACGAGAAAGUGGAGCAAUCCAUGAGUAAAGUGGCGACCGGGUGAGUAACACGUGACUAACCUACCUUCGAGUGGGGGAUAACCUCGGGAAAACCGAGGCUAAUACCGCAUAACAUCGUGAGAUCAAAGCAGUAAUGCGCUGGAAGAGGGGGUCGCGGCUGAUUAGCUAGUUGGCGGGUAAUGGCCCACCAAGGCGAAGAUCGGUA
rnacentral:rRNA from 1 species